rnacentral:rRNA from 1 species
GAUGAACGCUGGCGGCGUGCCUAAUACAUGCAAGUCGAGCGAACGGACGAGAAGCUUGCUUCUCUGAUGUUAGCGGCGGACGGGUGAGUAACACGUGGAUAACCUACCUAUAAGACUGGGAUAACUUCGGGAAGCCGGAGCUAAUACCGGAUAAUAUUUUGAACCGCAUGGUUCAAAAGUGAAAGACGGUCUUGCUGUCACUUAUAGAUGGAUCCGCGCUGCAUUAGCUAGUUGGUAAGGUAACGGCUUACCAAGGCAACGAUGCAUAGCCGACCUGAGAGGGUGAUCGGCCACACUGGCACUGAGACACGGUCCAGACUCCUACGGGAGGCAGCAGUAGGGGAUCUUCCGCAAUGGGCGAAAGCCUGACGGAGCAGCGCCGCGUGAGUGAUGAAGGUCUUCGGAUCGUAAAACUCUGUUAUUAGGGAAGAACAUAUGUGUAAGUAACUGUGCACGUCUUGACGGUACCUAAUCAGAAAGCCACGGCUAACUACGUG